AAUGAACGUUGGCGGCGUGGAUUAGGCAUGCAAGUCGAGCGAGAAAUCUACUUCGGUAAAUGGACAGCGGCGAAAGGGACAGUAAUGUGUAGGUACCUACCCUCUGAUCUGGGAUAGCUGCGGGAAACUGCAGGUAAUACCGGAUAAUGUCUUCGGACCAAAGGUGUGAUUCCGUCUGAGGAGGGGCCUGCAUCCUAUUAGCUUGUUGGUGAGGUAAUGGCUCACCAAGGCAACGAUGGGUAGCGGGUGUGAGAGCAUGACCCGCGUCAUUGGGACUGAGACACUGCCCAGACAUCUACGGAUGGCUGCAGUCGAGAAUCUUCGGCAAUGGGCGAAAGCCUGACCGAGCGACGCCGCGUGCGGGAUGAAGGCCCUCGGGUUGUAAACCGCUGUCGUUGGGGAGGAAAUGCAUGAGGGCUAUCCCUCUUGUUUGACCGAUCCAAGGAGGAAGUACGGGCUAAGUUCGUGCCAGCAGCCGCGGUAAGACGAACCGUACGAACGUUACUCGGAAUUACUGGGCUUAAAGGGUGCGUAGGCUGCACGGAAAGUUGGGUGUGAAAGCCCUCAGCUCAACUGAGGAAUUGCAUCCAAAACUGCCGU
rnacentral:rRNA from 1 species